rnacentral:tRNA from 1 species
UACUCCUUAGUGUAACGGCAGCACAAGAGGCUCUGACCCUCUUGGUCUAGGUUCGAAUCCUGGGGGAGUAGC